GAGAAGUUCUCUACUGUGAGGGUGGUGAAAAUGCUCCAUUCCUGGCAGUGUUCAACGUCAGGUUGGACAUAGCCUUGGAUGGCAUGGUUUAG